GAUGCCCUGGCUUAUAUACUAAUUUAGCGCCGUAUUUUGCUAUGAAAUUUUACCAUCGUUUUAGUUUAGUGUUCGCAUUUUUAUAGAAAAUCGAAAAGAAGAUCAAAAUGAAUUUAAUGAAAAAAUCCGUUUAUACUAAAUGAGUUAAAAGAGAAUUGAGUGAAAGUAAACACAAUACUUGAUUGUAACGCAAUCUUAAAAGCUGGGAUCAGCUACACAUACAAAAUGUUUGGAAAUUUUAGAUGUACCCACUGCUGAUGUUGAACUACCCAAUGUCGACACUCAUGGCGAGUUCAUCAAUGUCAUUACUGGCGUACACACCGGUUCAGAUGACAUUGGUUCUGGUGAUCCUAUAGGACGCGAUGUUUAUGGACCGUCAAGGGACACAUCGGCAUCUACAGACAAGGUGCUACUAAGUAUUGUAUUCUUCUGGUUUUCGAUUUAUUUACUUUUCCGUUGUUUCGUUUUUUGAGGGAAUAACAGUCAAUCUUCUAGGAACUACUAGCAGUUAAGAUAUAAAGUUAAUUCGUCUGAUGUAACUUUUCCAGGACGCGAUGAUUAUGGAGCGUCACGGGAAACAUCGACAUUCACAGACAAGGUGCUACUAAGUAUUGGAGUUUCAUAGUACACUCAUUACAUAUAACUGCUAUCCUCAUAAUAAUUGAUGAAGUGUCAUAAGACACUUCUGCAUUCACUACACAUUUUAUACACAAGACGUCUUUUAAUUUUGCUGGGAAUUCGUUCUGGAUCAUUGAGCGCGUUUAAUUGUUCUGCCAACUUCUACCAUAGCGCCGGAUGAGUCGGGUAGUUUACACUAAACGGUUGGACUUAGAACAGCAUUCUAACUGGAUGCUGCUGCUGCUGGUUUACUUCGUUGCCAACGUUGGCAAAUUGUACAGCCCCACUAUCAAACACUAGCCGUCGUUGAUUAUGUGAGCAAUAGUUGUUGUUGCUUGUGCUGCUCGGCUAAACAUUUUUAGCCAUUCACUCGCUUGAUUUUAACUAUCAUGUGUGAUCGCGCGCGUAAUUAAUCUUUAACACUAGGAUUUUAUAAUGAGGCUUGUGUUUGUUUACUGUUUUAUAUAAAAUCACAAAUUUAGAGUAUUGUUCUGUUACAGUUUUGUUAAUUAUAAUAAUUACUUUCGUACAUAUCUACGCUUUUAGUUACAAUUACAAUUUGGUAGUCGCCAAUAAACGCUAUUUAAAUUGCAUUGUUAUUGUUGCUUGUUGUAUUUUAUCACUGCUAAAGCUUUUAUGUUUUUCACAACAAUUAUUUCGCUGGCCUAAACUUUUUCACUUCACUUGCUGCUAUGUCUUUCGAUAAGGCUGGCACGUCGAUGCCCCCUUUUUACUUUUGUUACUCAGGGACCGCUAUCGAAAAUACUUUUUCACUUCACUUGCUGUUACUUAUGUCUUUCGAUAAGGCUGGCACGUCGAUGCCUCCUUUUUACUUUUGUUAUUCAGGGACCGCUAUCGAAAAUACUUUUUCAACCGGGCGCCAGUUUUCCUACCGGACCGACUGAAUUUGCUCGGGCGCCAGUUAUGUA